GUCCACGCCGUAAACGAUGAGUGCUAGGUGCUGCGGGUAUUGACCCCUGCGGUGCCGUAGCUAACGCGUUAAGCACUCCGCCUGGGGAGUACGGCCGCAAGGCUAAAACUCAAAGGAAUUGACGGGGCCCGCACAAGCGGUGGAGCAUGUGGUUCAAUUCGACGCAACGCGCAGAACCUUACCUGGGUUAAAUCCACUCGAAGCUGGUAGAGAUACCGGGGUGCCCUUCGGGGAGCGAGUGAGAAGGUGCUGCAUGGCUGUCGU
rnacentral:rRNA from 1 species